rnacentral:rRNA from 18 species
UGGUGGGUAGUUUGACUGGGGCGGUCUCCUCCUAAAGAGUAACGGAGGAGCACGAAGGUUGGCUAAUCCUGGUCGGACAUCAGGAGGUUAGUGCAAUGGCAUAAGCCAGCUUGACUGCGAGCGUGACGGCGCGAGCAGGUGCGAAAGCAGGUCAUAGUGAUCCGGUGGUUCUGAAUGGAAGGGCCAUCGCUCAACGGAUAAAAGGUACUCCGGGGAUAACAGGCUGAUACCGCCCAAGAGUUCAUAUCGACGGCGGUGUUUGGCACCUCGAUGUCGGCUCAUCACAUCCUGGGGCUGAAGUAGGUCCCAAGGGUAUGGCUGUUCGCCAUUUAAAGUGGUACGCGAGCUGGGUUUAGAACGUCGUGAGACAGUUCGGUCCCUAUCUGCCGUGGGCGCUGGAGAACUGAGGGGGGCUGCUCCUAGUACGAGAGGACCGGAGUGGACGCAUCACUGGUGUUCGGGUUGUCAUGCCAAUGGCACUGCCCGGUAGCUAAAUGCGGAAGAGAUAAGUGCUGAAAGCAUCUAAGCACGAAACUUGCCCCGAGAUGAGUUCUCCCUGAGACUUAGAGUCUCCUGAAGGAACGUUGAAGACGACGACGUUGAUAGGCCGGGUGUGUAAGCGCAGCGAUGCGUUGAGCUAACCGGUACUAAUGAACCGUGAGGCUUAACCUU